rnacentral:rRNA from 1 species
UACGUAGGGGGCAAGCGUUGUCCGGAAUCAUUGGGCGUAAAGAGCGUGUAGGUGGCUCGGUAAGUCCGCUGUGAAAGUCCAGGGCUCAACCCUGGAAAGCCGGUGGAAACUGUCGAGCUCGAGUCCGGAAGAGGAGAGCGGAAUUCCUGGUGUAGCGGUGGAAUGCGCAGAUAUCAGGAAGAACACCCGUGGCGAAGGCGGCUCUCUGGGACGGUACUGACGCUGAGACGCGAAAGCGUGGGGAGCGAACAGG